AAUACUGAAACUGUUGAUCCAUUUUUGCUUAAGAGUUGCAGGGUAAAUGGUGCUGGGCCCUUUGGGACUACUUCUGGUCUGUCAGUAAAGCUGUGGUCUCCUAUGCUAUUUCUGAAGGACAAAGUUUAAAAGAUGUCUAACUUUUCUUUCCCUCUUAAUGAAUUGAUAAUAAUAUAAACAAAUCGUCAUAGUUACGAAUGCUAAUGAAUUUGGAGACAUGUUGAAACAUUAUUGUAUGUAAAGUAAUAGUUACGAAAAAUCAACAUACUACUUUGAGGAUGAACUAGAUACAGGUUUAGUUUGGGGUUUUCUCCUCUACUUUUCCCCCUCAGUGCAGUACUUGUAUCCUAGGUCACUUUGAUUUCUGCAACUUCAGUGUGCUGCUCUAGUUGUAAGAGGUAGUUCUUACUCUACGGAAAUUGUGCCCCUCCCUGGGUGAGAUGAUGUAAUGUUAGUUAUGACUCAGCCAUGCAGAAAAUUGUCUGCAGGAAGAGGCAGUAGAAAUGCUGUGAUACCCUCUUAAACUUAACAUUUUUUAGUGGCAUACUAAAAUGGUGUUCUAAAAGGCAUUUUCUAUGGGUUGUAGUUACUUUAAAAGGUGCAUGUACCCAACAACCAACCUUAUAUUUUCGUUAGGAGACUGGUUUGUGAAAUCUGAACCUCUUCCAAAUGCUUACUCCAGAUCGUCAGGAUUUUUUCAAUUGCAUAUGCUUGUGGUGCUUCAGAGAGCACACGAUUGAUGGAUGUCCAGUCCUGUGACCACUUGUGAGGUAGAUGUUACUGUCGGCAGUGGAGUUGUCCACUGGACUGUGGACCCUGCUGGUGUGUCAUCCCACAGGUUGUGAUGAGGGAUCACGUACCUGGAGGUGACAGAAUGACAUGUGAUAUGAAGAAACUGUUAAAUAGCCAACAGGAAAAGCCAACAUCUACGGCCUUGUCACAUCCUAAAUCUUCCCUCACUUACACCUGCCGUGGAGUACCUCUACAGAGAGCUGAACUACUUCUCUUGUUUGCUGCAGCCUCAGAGUGCUGCUGUAUAAAGCAGAGACACCUAAAAUGUCAUGGUGCAGCACCAGUUGUUUCAGAUAUACACUGGAGUAUAUUCAGGUGUAGUAUAACUGACUCUUAAUUUGGAGUUGGUCUGGUAGUGCUGAUAAACUGCAAAUAAUUGUGAUACAUUGUACAUAUUGUUACAGUGAAAGGAACUUUUACUGAAGACUGAAUUUCCAAAUUCUUCAAGAAUAAUACAGUGUGUGUGUAAGGAAGUACAUUGCCAUACCCUAGCAUCUUAAAUGUACUUGAGUAUUACAGAAAAUUUCCAGCCUCAGAAGUUUCAUAUUGAUACAGGAAAUUAAGCUUUUUGUUGAGUACUUUUCCUCAUGUUAGCGAAGUGUGUGCUUCACAUUUUGUUUCACUUUCUAUAGUGAAAGGGAGGUUCUGUCUAAAAUACCAGUAUAAUGAUCUUUUAUUUGUCAUUUCCAUAAUAAAAAUUGUUAUUAAUCUAA